rnacentral:rRNA from 1 species
AUUGAACGCUGGCGGCAGGCCUAACACAUGCAAGUCGAGCGGAGCGGCGGACGGGUGAGUAAUGCCUAGGAAUCUGCCUGGUCGUGGGGGCGAACGUCCGGAAACGGGCGCUAAUACCGCAUACUAUCAGAUGAGCCUAGGUCGGAGUAGCUAGUUGGUGGGGUAAAGGCCUACCAAGGCGACGAUCCGUAACUGGUCUUAGAGGAUGAUCAGUCAAACUGGAACUGAGACACGGUCCAGACUCCUAGUUGAGGCAGCAGUGGAGAAUGUUUGACAAUGGGCGAAAGCCUGAUACAGCCAUGCCGGGUGUGUGAAGAAGGUCUUCGGAUUGUAAAGCACUGUAAGUUGGGAGGCGUUACCAACAGAAUAAGCACCGGCUAACUUCGUGCCAGCAGCCGCGGGAUAC